rnacentral:rRNA from 1 species
AACGAACGCUGGCGGCGUGCCUCAUACAUGCAAGUCGAGCGAGAAAGUAUCCUUCGGGGUGCGAGUAAAGCGGCAAACGGGUGAGUAACACGUGGGAAAUCUGCCUAUAAGACUGGGAUAACUUCGGGAAACCGGAGCUAAUACCGGAUAAUUCUUUUCUACACAUGUAGAAAAGCUAAAAGACGGUUUACGCUGUCACUUAUAGAUGGGCCCGCGGCGCAUUAGCUAGUUGGUGAGGUAAUGGCUCACCAAGGCCACGAUGCGUAGCCGACCUGAGAGGGUGAUCGGCCACACUGGGACUGAGACACGGCCCAGACACCUACGGGAGGCUG